GCCUGGGUAGCUCAGUCGGUUGAGCGUCCGACUUUGGCUCAGGUCAUGAUCUCGCAGUUUGUGAGUUCGAGCCCCACGUCGGGCU
rnacentral:tRNA from 1 species